CGGCGACGCAGAGCGGAACUUCAAAGCCUGUCUCAGUUCGGAUUGGAGUCUGCAACCCGACUCCAUGAAGCUGGAUUCGCUAGUAAUCGCGCAUCAGCCACGGCGCGGUGAAUACGUUCCCGGGCCUUGUACACACCGCCCGUCAAGCCAUGGAAGCCGGGAGUGCCUGAAGUGUGCAACCGCAAGGAGCGCCCUAAGGUAAAACCGGUGACUGGGGCUAAGUCGUAACAAGGUAUC
rnacentral:rRNA from 1 species